rnacentral:tRNA from 1 species
CAGAAAAUAGUUUAAUAUAAAAUAUUAGUUUUGGGGACUAAAAAUGGGAGUGAUCUCUUUUCUGA